rnacentral:lncRNA from 1 species
GGGGAAGAAGAGAACCCUUUUGACAGAGUUGUUGUCAUGGCAACAAAAGCUUCUCUCUGCAUAAAAGGCUUUGCCUUGCUGGUUUCAGUCCUUGUAGCAGUUCCAACAAGUUCUCUCUCUCUCUCUCUCUCUCUCUCUCUCUCUCUCUCUCUCUCAUAUUAUAUAUUUGAUUGUUAACUCUUACAAAUUUAUUAGGGUUUUUAUAAGAGUUCAAGCUUUUGGUAAUUUAAUCAUGGUAGGUUAUAUUUUCAAAACUUGUAACCUGCAUUUUGCUCUCUUUAUUUCAUGCAAUAUUCUUUUCCUUGAUUGGCUUACGUCAUCUACUUGAGUUAGCUCAUAUGUAACUGUUUAAAUAUUUGGGAUUAUUGGUUAACGGAUAAAAAAAAUUAAUUGAUUUUAGAAACAAUGCUAUAUAUAUAUAUAUAUAUAUAUUAUAGGUAGAAACUUGGUAUAAUUCACACGUAUGUUCGCUUUAUCUGAAUAAAAUGAGUAGUCCUUUCAAUGCAGAUUAGUCUUACUCCACUUGCAGAUGCACGACCAAUUUGCUUGAUCAUCUUCCAUAGAGCACCACAGCUAAGUCUCCGAUGUGUUCUACUGCAGGAGUGCAAUCGAUUGGUGUCUGCUACGGCAUGCUCGGCAACAAUCUUCCCCCGCCCAGCGAGGUGGUCAGUCUCUACAAAUCCAACAACAUCGCGAGGAUGAGACUCUACGAUCCAAACCAAGCCGCCCUGCAAGCCCUCAGGAACUCCAACAUCCAAGUCCUGUUGGAUGUCCCCCGAUCCGACGUGCAGUCACUGGCCUCCAAUCCUUCGGCCGCCGGCGACUGGAUCCGGAGGAACGUCGUCGCCUACUGGCCCAGCGUCUCCUUUCGAUACAUAGCUGUCGGAAACGAGCUGAUCCCCGGAUCGGAUCUGGCGCAGUACAUCCUCCCCGCCAUGCGCAACAUCUACAAUGCUUUGUCCUCGGCUGGCCUGCAAAACCAGAUCAAGGUCUCGACCGCGGUCGACACGGGCGUCCUCGGCACGUCCUACCCUCCCUCCGCCGGCGCCUUCUCCUCCGCCGCCCAGGCGUACCUGAGCCCCAUCGUGCAGUUCUUGGCGAGUAACGGAGCGCCGCUCCUGGUCAAUGUGUACCCUUAUUUUAGCUACACCGGCAACCCGGGACAGAUCUCGCUGCCCUACGCCCUGUUCACGGCCUCCGGCGUCGUCGUGCAGGAUGGGCGAUUCAGCUAUCAGAACCUGUUCGACGCCAUCGUCGACGCGGUCUUCGCGGCGCUGGAGAGAGUGGGAGGGGCGAACGUGGCGGUGGUGGUGUCGGAGAGCGGGUGGCCGUCGGCGGGCGGAGGAGCCGAAGCGAGCACCAGCAACGCGCGGACGUACAACCAGAACUUGAUCAGGCAUGUUGGCGGAGGAACGCCGAGGAGACCAGGGAAGGAGAUCGAGGCGUACAUAUUCGAGAUGUUCAACGAGAACCAGAAGGCUGGAGGGAUCGAGCAGAACUUUGGCCUGUUUUAUCCCAACAAGCAGCCCGUCUACCAAAUAAGCUUCUAGAAACUAACUUGUAAGGUUGAUGAAUCAUCUCCUACCUACCUACCUACCUACGAAUAAAACAUGAAAUGAAGCACCAGAAUAAAGGGAGAAUUCUGAUCAUGGAGAAAGUUGAAUCAUGAUGAUAUACAACAAACACCCCUCUUUACUCAUUAUCAGUAUGUUACAAGUUUCUGGAAACUUGAACGGAUCACAAUUUGGACCUACAAGGAUUUUGGGUCAUAAUUAUUUCAUUGAACUAUAUAUUCAAAAAAAGAUGUGUUUGGAGUGCUUAAUACAGUAUGACUUCAGUUUGCAAGAUUACCUCUUCAGCGUCAGCUUCAGCAUGCCAAAAAACCAUCAU